CGUGUGAUAGCUGGGUCAAGUGGUGAAUCCAUUCCAAGUUUUCUGAGGUAUCUCCUUACUGCUUCCUAGAGUGGUUGCACCAAUUUGCAGUCCCACCAGCAAU
rnacentral:pre_miRNA from 1 species